rnacentral:rRNA from 1 species
UGGUGGAGCGAUUUGUCUGGUUAAUUCCGAUAACGAACGAGACUCUAGCCUAUUAACUAGUUCGACGAUUCCGAUCUGUCGUCGUCGCCAACUUCUUAGAGGGACUAGUGGCGUUUAGCCACACGAAAUUGAGCAAUAACA